rnacentral:piRNA from 1 species
UACCAGCUCGACAUGACAUUCAA